CCUGGAACCCUGGACCCCGGUUUGGGUCCAGCCUUUCUUGCCUAUUCCGGGCCCCGCCCGAAGCGGGGUGGGGAGUUUGGGUGUCCGGGCCUCGGUGAUCGCUCCCGGCAGCUGGCAGAGAGAUGCCGGGGGGUGGGUCUCAGUGGAGUGGCUGUGAUUAGCGUGGGCUAGGAGAUAAUUCCUCCCCCUUCUUGGACUCCAAAGUGCUUUCUUAGGCUCUUGGCUCGGGCGCACUUCAGAGCCAACCCCUGUUUCCUGAUUCAUCUCCGUUUGGGGGAAAAAGUGGCUGCCAAGUCACGGAAGUGGCGGUUCCUGGAGGCCGCAGGCCCCGAGAUUUGUCUUGACUUUGCUGUCCGCCUGGGCAGAGCCUGGAAGGCCUUGAAGCUUUCACCUUCAGGACUGAGCCCCAGCAGCCGAGAGAGAAAAGUGCCUGAUGCCGAACUGGACCUGCCCUGGGGAGGCUGUGAGGAUGGGGAAGGGUGGCAGGAGACCUCUGCCUCACAGCACGUCUUGGGGCCGUCCAGCACGUCACUGCAGCUAGAAUUUAGAAUCCUGACUCACCCUUCAGCCAGCCACAAGGAAUGCUGAUUAUUCUGGAGCAGAAGCCAUGCUUCUGCAGUCCUGGCCAUAAAGCUGUGGAUUGUACGACCUGGCACGGCUGGUGCUGCCCGGCUGAGAUCACUGAGUUAUCUUUCCCAUCUGCAGAGUCCUGGCUGGGGUGCC